CAAAUAAAAUCCUUCUUCCUCUUCACACUCAUAAACCUGAUGUACUCUCUUUGAUCUCUCGACAACUUAGGCUUUUCAACAUCCCUUGAUAUCUUCAUCUCCCCAGUCAAAGCACUUGUAUUAACCAUCCGCUUGUUCAAAUCCGUCUGUUCCUCCUCAAAUUCAUCUUCCUGUGCCAUGUCAGCCCAAGACAUCCGGUGGCUCGGGGCUUCAACCAAAGGUGCAGCACCAAGGAUUCCACUAGUAGAAGCUUCUGAAACAGAUUCUGACCACCCAUUCGCUUCAUCUUUCCAACUACCCAAGGAAUUCAUAUCAUCUCCAUCUCCAUCUUUCCAACUUCCCGAUGAAUUAUUGUCACAGUUAUCAUCCAAACAAUUCUCAUGGGAUUCACUAUUGCUUAGGGGCACAGGCGUUAUUGUUGUAUCUGAAUGUGAAGGUUCUGCUUCGGCAUCAACUUCAGGUUCGAGAGAGCGGAUGCGAUCGGAGAGGAUUUGGGUGCAGUGUUGGCAGAGAUCUCUGGAGAGAAAAGGGAGCCACGUGGUGAGGAACUCCGACGCAAUUCGGAGAUCGGACGGCUGAUACUGCAGAAGGAAAGGAUCGUCCCUUCUGACUCGAUGGAGAUCGGUCAUGGCUGAGUCACUAUUCGGAAAGCGAAUAAGAGAUUUAUUGCAGAGCUUAUUUAGAAAAACAGAAAGUAAAGCUUCCUUCAAAC
rnacentral:misc_RNA from 1 species